UAUUGCUGACUGUCAUUCCGCAAGCUUCGAUUGUUUGGUUCACUGUUUUACUAAUAUUUAUUUUAGACUCUUGACUGCAUUUGUUGUCCCGCGUUUUGUUAAAUAAUUUUAGUGGUAUGAAAGUUAUGAUUUUCCUGAAAUAGUAACUUCGAGUUUUAGCAUUUCUAUACGUUUAUUUCAAUAAUAAAAAAAAACUUUGCAAAUACUGUAAAUACCUUCAUGUUGCUAAAUAUUUUUUUAAGAACAGCUGUGCUUAAUUGAGUUAAAAAAAUAGCGCGCCAAUGCCAAACGUCGCCGGGAAAACGUCGAUGCUUAAAGUGGAUCGGAAGAGUUUUAUUUGGUGGGACUAUGUUGUUUCUCAGUGCCUUAGCCAUCGGGAUGAUUACUGGCUUACAAAAUGUCACCACGGAGGUGCCGACAACGGAAAGUGACGCAGGGACGACGGCGGUAACUGACGGCAUGGGGUUACUAGAGACGACGAAAUCGUCAGCCGGGCACGACUUCGUAAACGUGACUAUUCAAGAGCGUACAUCGAUGUGGGACUUAUAUCUUAACCACUGCCCCAAGUGGCGUCCGAUAAAUCAUAUAUUUUUUCAAGCAGCCAAUGUGUUCUUCCUGUUAUCAUUCCUAGCACCACAUACACCCACUGGACUAAUUUGGCUGAGAGUGGCCCUGGUACUUGGCUGUGCCUUCUCGGGUCUCUGGGCUUGGAGUAUAGAGUGCUACUUGGAUGCUGUGGUGUGGAACAGUGCAUUUAUAAUUAUUAACUUUGUGUACUUUGCAGUGCAGUUUUAUUUGAUGAGGCCGAUUAAGUUUCAUAAGGAUAUUGAAGAGGUGUACAUAGCAUUGUUCAAACCACUACGGGUGUCCCGAAGGCAGUUCAGGCGCGUGUUGAUGUGUAUGCGCAACGUGAGGCAUCUGAAGUGCCACGAACUGUACGCGCAUGAGAAGGUCACGAAGGUGGACAGCCUCUCUUUAGUGCUGUCUGGAAAGCUUGUGGUGUCGCAGAAUCAGCGCGCUCUUCACAUUGUCUUUCCACACCACUUUCUGGACUCGCCAGAGUGGUUUGGUGUCUCGACGGAUGAAUACUUCCAGGUAUCAAUAAUGGCAAUGGAAGAAUCACGGGUCUUGGUGUGGCAUCGCGACAAACUCAAGCUUUCCAUCAUGUCAGAUGCCUUCCUGCAAGCGGUCUUCGAUCACAUACUCGGUCGGGACGUCGUUCAUAAGUUGAUGCAGGUGAGCGAAACAAUGUCAGUGAGCAAUGGUCACCUUCCGAAUAGCUAUGAGGAGGGGGAGGACAAGCCAAUGCUCGUGGUAAAGAAGGCUGGUGACGGUCCUGGCAUAACCGCACUGUUGAACCGACAGCUACAAGGCGAGCACGCGCCGUUGCUGCGGCCGACGCCCUCCCACGCCUGCUGAACGACGGGAUUUACCUUCAUUACCCCCCAUCCUUACCCUACAUCACUCUUGCUAAAUAAUUUUCAUAUUUUAAUAUAUUCCUGCUUAAUUCAGAAGGCUAUGUUACACACACACGCGCAAUCACAAUCGUGUUCAAUUUAAAAGCUUCUUAUGCCCUUGUUGAAACAAUGAAGUAUACUAAUUUGUCUGAACUAAAAAAGUAAAGCUAUCUCUUUUUCAUGCAUUGGUUUAAAUUGAUAGCAUAAUAUAAUCGAUGCGAUUUGAUCAAUCUCGGUCAUCGACAUUAAAUGUCAAAAUUAAUAUAAAGUGAAUUGUGAUCGCGAAUGUGUUUGACAAAUAGCCGGAAUUAUUAAUAAACGUUAAAUACUUGAUAAAUAUGACAAGACAGCAAUUCAUGACUGUACUGUACCAGUAUUUUUUUUAUUUUAGUUUUAUAUGUAUGAGAACAGUAGCUAGUAGCAAUCAAUAUUUAAUCGAUAACGUUUAUUAAUGAGGUUUUUUUUUUAAUAGUUAUUGCAAUUGCACUAACAUGUAUUGACAGCCGUUAUUUAAGUAUUAAUACGAAUUAAAUUUAAAUAAACAUUAUGUAAUAGUCUUUUACCUUUUGUUGCAUUUAAGAAUUCGUAAAACUUUUAAUGUGUAAUGACGAUUGUCAAUUUAAAAAAUCAUUCCGUCCUUUGGCUCAUCAUACUAUGAUCACGUAAUAAAAGUGUAAAUAUUUUUUUACGUGCUUAGAUAUAGCAAUCUUAAUAAUAGUUUUGAUGUGUAAACAUCUUAGCGCUCGGUACACGGUAGGAUCUAAGAGUUCGAGCGUCAAACAAGUAAGUGUAAGAUCUCGAGCAUCAGAUGACGUUAGCGUAAGAUUUGUUAUUUACACAUCAAUUCUCGUGAGUGGGUGGCACUCACAAGAUUUUUCUAUUCGUUUUAUUAAUAAUAAAUUAUAUACUAUUGCUCAAUUUUACACCGUGAUCUGCUUUAUAUCCCUGUAGUUUGUAUAUUAUAUAAUAACUCACAAGUACCUUUCAUAUAAAUCAGUGUGUCAUAUUAAUAUUUAAUUUUCUACAAAAUAAGGUCGCUUACAAGUCUAUUUACAAAGAAUUAAAAAAGAAUUUAUUGUUUUAUGCAAAUUUAUAAUCUUUUAAAAAAUAACAAGUACAAUUUGUUUGCAUAUGACAUUACCGAUGAGUAUUAUUUUCGUUUUUAACCUAUAAUAAUAGCAUAUACAGCUUGUAGUAUGGAUUUCAGAACGAAAAUAUUAUUUGCAAUGCAAUAUAAACUUUAUUAAAAGUGAUGUCUCUUGUUUCUUUUGCUGUUGUCAGCAAAAUAUUGUUUUCCUGGAAUCCAACACCGCAUACAUUUAUGAUAUCGAUAUAGGAUAGUUCUUUAUGUUGAGGUAUUAACUGUGUGUCUAUUUAAUGAUAUUUAUUUAUAUAUAUAUAUUUGAAGGGUCGAGAUAAACAUGCUUUGCCUAGUCAUUGUUAAUAGAUGCUAUUGUCACAUCGAUGUUGUGCUUUUCCCCGCACCUAGCGCAAGUCACUCGCAUAAUUUAAACGAAACGACACAGCUUCACAUCCACAGAUAAACGAAAAAUUCAACUUGCUUUUUGGUUUGUAGAACAGAUUAUAAAUAAAAAUCAAUCAGUUUAAAUUAAAAUUUAUAAUGUUACUAGUUUAAAUAAGUUAUUGUAAUGACUGAAAAAGUUUCGUAUAUCUUGACCUGACCACGAUGCUUUAAUAAUCUUGUUACCUUCACUUCAAAUGUAAAUUAGGGUUAUGUAAGGUUAUAAUACUAUAAUUAUGAAGCUUUAUAACAUGAAUAAUAUUUUAAUAUUAUCCCUAUUGUCCUUAUCCUAAAUUCCGAAAUCCCAUAGCAUGUUUGGAAGACCAAGAAUUAUCAGCCACAGAUCCAAACGCUUGGCGUCUCGGGAGAAUCGACGAAACUGACCACGAGACGCCCGUUUGAGGGCAAGCACUGCAUCUAGCGGUGCGUCCGAGAAAACGCGACCGCUAGUGCAUUCUAUGCCAUAUUUCAUGGACUUAUGGUCCAAUUGAACUGAUGCUUCGAAAACGUUGCCAUAUGUGGAAGAUAAAUGACGUGCGAACAUGAACUGUGUCAUACGAUUAAGAAGGUUCGAAAUGUCUGUUUUUUUUAAGAAAUUGAAGGUGUCCAUUGAAAAGAAAUUAAGCUGUGUUAUACGUGCGGGAUAUCAAAGUUGUUAUAUAAAUUGUAACUUUAACUUAAUAUGAUGUAAUAAAUAAUGUAAAUGGAUUGAAAACUACCAUGACUAGCUUUCAGGGGCAGAUUAAAAUAGAUCUUUAAAUAAAUUCUUAAGGAUAGAAUAAAACUAACGAUGAAAUUGCUUAUCUUUUGUAAUGGACACUUAUCUAUUGAUCAAAAAGAGCAUGACAAUGUCUUACGAGUUUUAAUUUUUUUACGAAAGUCGACUAUUUUACUAAAAAAGUACGGUAAACUGACAUUUUUAGCAGGCAAUAAUGACGAUAGCUCUAAAUAUACUGAUAAGAGUUAUAAUAUAUAAAUAUUCCGCGCCAAAAAUAGUGUCAGUCUGCUGUUAAAAAAGUGCAGACCAAAUAAAAAAAUGAGUAUAUUUACUAGACCCGUUAGUGUUACAGUGUACGUAUAAUAUAAAGAUAUUUUUUGCGAUAUUAGAAUAGUAGCAAUACGAACGGUCACAAAUAAACCAGAAUUAUUUUGUGUAUAAUAUUUAUAUAGAUAGAAAUUAACUAAUCGAUGACGAGAGUUUCUUCAGCAAUUUUUUAUAAGUGCAUUCUCAAUAACUGCCUUUUAAAACUUAUUAAAAGUUAUACACUUCAUAUAUAAAACCUCAUGUCCUGAAUCUCUUAAAUUAUAAAUAAUUGUUUUUCUUCGAUAAUAACUCCUGGCAUGAAAUAUUAUAGCGACUGCACUUAUAAAAAACAAAUAUCGUUUAAGAAUUUUGCAGAGUAUCUUGUUAUAUGCUUAUAAAUAGUGUAUCAGAAAUACUGUAAAUAAAAUUAAAUGGGAACUGUGUGUACAAAGUAAAUCGAUUCUAGCUUAAAAUGUAAGGAAUUUAAUCCGUUUAAUGAAAUUAUAAACUCGCAGGUAUUUAUCGAAAUUGUCAGUUUAAAAUAAUAUAAGUAAACAUGUAUAAAAUAAUUUAUAUUAAUUUGAACGCACAAAAAAACAAUUGCUGAUUUAGGGUCCGUUCACACAGACCGGCUCGGAGAGCAUCGGCCUGCUUUUUUCUUUUCACACAGACCGGGUCGUAUACGCUUGGAAUUGGCCGGAGCGGAGCCGCCAACUAUUUCACAUCGACCGGCUGGAAGAGAUCUGAAAGCGGGUGCGAGCGAGAAAGAGCACGCAAGCGGAGCCGGUCGGCUCCUUUUAUUACUUCACACGAAGCGCGUUCAGGCAUUUUUAAUGACAAAAAAGGUGCAAAUGCAAAAAUAAACUUUACUACAAUCACUCAAAACACUGUUUCCAACGUGAUAAAAAUCUGCUCUCCUCUCCGAGCCGGUCUGUGUGAACGGACCCUUACACAUGAUCAUGAUACAUAUACAUGAAAAAAAAAACAGAAAUUAGAAUAAUUUGUAAGAAACUUAAAAAUUCCUAAAUUAGGAUAGUAAUAUUUGUACAGAAUAGAUUCCAGACAUUGUGAAUGAAUAAUUUUAUUUUUGGUUCUAUGUUAGUACAUUCGAAAAUAGUUUGGAUACUUGUAAUGACAUUUGAUUUUUUUAUGCUUUAUUUUUGUUUCGUUCCAUUAAAAAGAAAACGAACUUUUUAAUGAAAAAAAUGAAUAAAUAAAACAAAGCUAACUAUAAUAGACUAUUAUAAUUGAAAGUAAUGUAUAAAUUAGACACACAUUCCUUUUUUUAGCAUUAUUGAUUGGUAUGAAUUGUUAAUACUAAUAGAAAUGACUAAAAGAUUAGAUUUGAAAUAAUUUCAUCAUUUUCUAUAAUAUAAAAAAAAACGAAAAUUACUAAACUUUAACUCUCUUACUCAAACAAUAAAGAGUUAUGUUCUAUGAAAACCAAUCAUAACUUAUUUUUAUAUAUAUUUUUAAAAACAUUUAUCUGAAAGACAAGUAAUUUCGUGUAAAAUUAUAAAUGCACUGCCAUUGCUAUAUAUAGAUUAAAAUUUAAUUUGUGAAAAAUUAAAUAAUAAAAAUAUAAGUACAUAAGUGAUCGUAUAAUAAUGUGAAAAUAAGGAUCUCGAUGUAACUUUGUUUACUUAUCUGUAAUAAAUAUUUGUUAUGUCACAAACACAUCCCCCAUCAAUUCAAGGCUAAGAAUAUUUUAAACAUUUAUACUGAAAAUUCAUAGAAAUAAGUAUGUUUUUGAGUUUUAAGAUAUUAUUUGUUUGCUAUUUGUGAAUAUCUUGCUAUUUAUAUGGAAUUGAAGCUCUUGAAGUGACUUCUUAUUUUACCCGUUACUUCUGAACAAACAAAUGUUAUUACAGAUUUGUUACUUGCCUUGAAGAAUGUAUGAACACCCGGAGUGUUUGCAUUGAUUGCUACACAAAGCAAGGCAUGGAUGCUGGGCUUUUGUGAGCUUUAGAAGGCCUUACCGAAUUGCCAUUUGUGAUGUUUGUAAAUUUUGAAUGUGUAAUUAUAUCAUUGUAGUACACGUUGAAAUGAAUAGAGAUAAAAAAUAAAAUAAUGAAUUGUGUAAAAA